UCCUACGGGAGGCAGCAGUAGGGAAUCUUCCGCAAUGGACGAAAGUCUGACGGAGCAACGCCGCGUGAGUGAUGAAGGCUUUCGGGUCGUAAAACUCUGUUGUUAGGGAAGAACAAGUGCUAGUUGAAUAAGCUGGCACCUUGACGGUACCUAACCAGAAAGCCACGGCUAACUACGUGCCAGCAGCCGCGGUAAUACGUAGGUGGCAAGCGUUGUCCGGAAUUAUUGGGCGUAAAGCGCUCGCAGGCGGUCUUUUAAGUCUGAUGUGAAAGCCCACGGCUUAACCGUGGAGGGUCAUUGGAAACUGGAGGACUUGAGUACAGAAGAGGAGAGUGGAAUUCCACGUGUAGCGGUGAAAUGCGUAGAGAUGUGGAGGAACACCAGUGGCGAAGGCGACUCUCUGGUCUGUAACUGACGCUGAGGAGCGAAAGCGUGGGUAGCGAACAGGAUUAGAUACCCUGGUAGUCCACGCCGUAAACGAUGAGUGCUAAGUGUUAGAGGGUUUCCGCCCUUUAGUGCUGAAGCUAACGCAUUAAGCACUCCGCCUGGGGAGUACGGCCGCAAGGCUGAAACUCAAAGG
rnacentral:rRNA from 1 species